CCUACGGGUGGCAGCAGUGAGGAAUAUUGGUCAAUGGCCGGGAGCCUGAACCAGCCAAGCCGCGUGAGGGAAGAUGGCCCUACGGGUUGUAAACCUCUUUUGUCAGGGAGCAAGGUGGAGUUCGGGACCUGCUGUGAGCGUACCUGACGAAAAAGCAUCGGCUAACCCCGUGCCAGCAGCCGCGGUAAUACGGAGGAUGCGAGCGUUAUCCGGAUUUAUUGGGUUUAAAGGGUGCGCAGGCGGAGGCACAAGUCAGCGGUAAAAUCCCGGGGCUCAACCCCGCUCCGCCGUUGAAACUGUGGCACUGGAGUGCGCGAAGGGUAGGCGGAAUGCGUGGUGUAGCGGUGAAAUGCAUAGAUAUCGCGCAGAACUCCGAUCGCGAAGGCAGCCUACCGGCGCGCAACUGACGCUGAGGCACGAAAGCGUGGGUAUCGAACAGGAUUAGAUACCCGGGUAGUC
rnacentral:rRNA from 1 species